UGGUUGACGCCGUUGUUCCUGGUUUCGGGGUUGGGCCGACGCUCUGCGCUGCUUUCCCUCAGUGAGUGAGAAGGCUGAAGAGGUGCUGUGGAAGAAAAAAAAAUCGACCAACAAAAGGGGAGGUAAAAAGAUUUAUACAGAGGCGCUGUAUUAAGGAAAAUAAAAGAGCCAAACACGGUGUUGUAGAUGUUAGACUUGUUCUCGCGGAUAAGACUGAAUAUAACCUCCAGUACCUGCAAACUGCUGGGUUUCUGUGGGCAGUUACUGUAUAUUUCACACUGUUUAGUGAAGACGAAAGAAUGCAGAGGUCACAUGUGCUUUGAGGAUGAAGGGAAAACAACUUCAUUGUAGAAGACAAAUGCCCAGUUUUUCACUUGUACUGAAAAGAAUAUUACUACUUUUUCUUGAGCUGGAAGACAACAGUAGACUUAAACCAUUCGGAGGACACACAAGGAAUUACCCAAUUUUAGGAAGUUUCCAGUCUUAAAGACUUGGGUAUAAAUAUGAAUAUCACCACAGUACACCCACCUGUUGACAAUGGAGAUGUGGCCAUCAGCUACAUCUUGGUGCCUUUUUUGCUAAUCACUUUUUUUGGAAUAGCUGCAGCUGGGGUGAUGUAUGUGCAGAAGAGAAGAAGGGUGGAUCGAUUAAGACAUCAACUUCUUCCAGUUUACAGCUAUGACCCCUCUGAAGAACUUAUUGAAGCAGAGCAAGAGUUUAUGUGGAGGGAUGAAGAUACAAAGGUGGUACAAGGCUGGGGAAGAAGACAACAGCGUCGCCCUUUACUUGCAAAGGAAGUUCCUGCCUGACAAACUUGAUUUGAUCAGGUGUACAGUAGAACACCUGUCAUGAAUUAACAGGUUUUGUUGAUUUGAAUAGCACAGCUUUCAAACCCUCCUUUUUCUUUUAUUUAUAUAAUUUUUUUCAUUUUCAUAAUGGGAAAUUACAUAGCCAAUUGAAAUAAAUUAUCAGAUCAUACCCUCUAUCCAUAUCACACAUAAUGUUUUACCUUUCUGUCUUUCUGAAGAAAAUAAUUUAAUAUUUGUACAAGUAUUCAUUUUUAGUUAAAUCAGUAUUUCUGUGUGUUCUUUCUAUUUAUUUUAAAAAUAACUGUGCUUAAUAAUCAUAUACAAAAUGGUUUAUAGUUUGAAUUGAUAGGGGGAAGCUUUUCCAGAAUUCAAGCCUAAAUCAGAAGAAUGUGUUGAGAAUAUAUAGAUGUUUCAACCACCCCAACAUAAAGGAACUAUUUCAAUUGACACUUGCCAAGUCAUAUGAAGUCAGGAUGAUGCAGGUGCCAGAGUGAGUGUACUUCAAAUCACUGCCAAGAUGCACAAUCCAAAAACUACAGUAAUGCUGAAGCAAGUAAUAGAGGAAACAAAUAGCAUGCACUGGUUAGUAUGAUUAGUUUUGCUCUCCGGAAUUCCAGAAUGUAUUGUAUUCUGAAUUUAGAUAUUUUUUUUCUAGGAAAUGCACAUAAGUUGGCCCCCUGAAAUUAUUUAAAAAAAAAUUUCCCAAAAUGUAAUCUGCUCUAAUAUUGAAAAUAUGCAAGACAAAAAUUGAAUAAUAUUAGGUGAAACAAGAGGAACAUGCUUUUUUUUUUUUUUUUUUGCAUUUUUCUUUCAUGAAGAUAUUGGAAAGGUAGUGCAAAUAAAAUACUGUAUACGUAUCCGCGCCAUUGAAUGCUCUGGACUCAGCUAACUUAAUACUACUGUAUGCCUACACAGACUAUGUAAGACUGCUUUGUGAUACUCCCACUGCCCUUAGCCUUCUUUUUAGCUGAUUUGAUGUUAUUACUGUAUCUAAGCUACUUCUUCCAUGAAUUUGGAAAUGCAGGGAUGUGUACUUUAUUAUAUACCAACAUGCUUAAAACUGCCUGUGGUGACUGCAACAAGCAAAAAGGGGGAAUGGCUAAAAUAAAACCAAUAGACUUUUCUAACUAGGAGUAUACUAGUCGCUUGAAGUAGUAGAGGAAUUUAGAGGCAAAUGUUUCAUCCUCUCUCGUAAAAUUGUGCUAUGUAGAUAGUAAAGAAAUACAGAAUAAAAUCAAGAUAAAAAGUAAAUGGUGCAAGCACUUUGUCCCUAGUUCCAUUAUAAAUAAUCUUAUAACUGAUCAGUACAAAACAGGCAUUCUAGUCAGUAAUUAAUGGCAAAGUGUAAAAGAGAAAUGGGAAAUUGUUUUCAAAAACUAAUUCACAAACAUUGCAUAUAUAUAUAUAUACAGUGCAUUCAGAAAGUUUUCAGACCUCUUUACUUCCUGCACCUUUUAGUUUGUUCUCAAUGAACCAUAAUGACAAAGUGAAAACAUGUUUUCAGAAAGGUGUGCAAAUGUAUUAAAAAUCAAAACACUGAAAUCUCUCAUUUAUGUAAGUAUUCAGACUUUUGGCUGUGGCAAUCCAAAUUGUGAUCAGGCGCAUCCGGUUUGCUUUAAUUAUCCUUGAGACAUGUUUAGUACUUAAUUGGACUCCCAUCUGCAGCAAAAUGAAUUGACUGAACAUGGUUUAGAAAGGCGCACACACCCAUUUGUAUAAGGUCCCACACCUCACGCUGCAUGUCAGAACAAAAACCAAGCCUUAAGGAACUUUCUGUAGACAUCGGCAAUAGAAUAUCUGUAGUUACUAUGAUAAUUGUAAAUUGGUCGUGUGUGUACGUUUGAAUACACAUGUAAAGGAGUGUGCUCUGUGACGGAAUGACUUCAUGUCCAGGGAGGGGUCUUGCUUUGUGCAAAAUGCAGGAGCACACAGGCUGUAGCCAGAUAUGAUCCUGGAGUUCAGAAGUGGAUUUCAGAAAGAUCUGAACACAAAUGCUGAUAGGCUGCUUAGAAUUUUAGGUGUUUGAAAACCAUGCAUAUUAUAACAGUAUCAUGACUAGGCCUGGGUAAAAAUAUUGAUUUUCUGGUUAAUCAUUAUUUUUCAUUUAAGUGAUUCAGUAUCGUUUCUUAAAGUCCCAAGAUCAAUCGUGAAUUUCUGUCCUGCUCAGUUACUAUAUGCAGAUUUUUGCUUAUCAAUGUUUUUGCCUUCCAAUCCAGGAGAUUGUACUAAUGCGCCUGUUAAGGCUUUCUACUGAAAAAGCAUUUUACUACUUUAUAUAAAAUGUUGUGUCCUGAAAUCAGUGUCUUACACACUUAAAUCAGAUGUGUGGACUUAAUACGGAUUAAAAUGAUGCAUUAGUAUAGAACAACUGGAUAAAAGCAAAGCAUUAUCUAAGCUGUGCAACUCAGAAGUUAAUUAUUGUUGUAACACGACAAAUAUGAGAAAUCACCUAUCUCGACAUUACCCAAAAACAUCACAGUCGACAUCCAAAUUAGAUUAUUGCCUAAACAAUUUGCAUUGGAGACAGUGUUUAGCUCCACCCUUCUGUUUGUUAUUUUUUGGGCAUGAGGUAAAUUAAUCUAUAGCAGUUUUUAUCUGUAAAUAUGACACCCUAUAAUGGACCUCACUCCGGCAAGUGGCCAAUUCUUAGAAUUUUUAGAGCAGCCUGUGAUUUUAAACUGACCGUGUGCUCAAAGCAUCCGCCUUGAAAUAGCUCCAUAAUAGCUGCAUUAUCAGCAAAAAUGACUAGUUCUUUUUCUUUUAU